UGCUGCAUGGCUGUCGUCAGCUCGUGUCGUGAGAUGUUGGGUUAAGUCCCGCAACGAGCGCAACCCUUGUCAUUAGUUGCUACAUUUAGUUGGGCACUCUAAUGAGACUGCCGGUGACAAACCGGAGGAAGGUGGGGAUGACGUCAAGUCCUCAUGGCCCUUAUAGGUGGGGCUACACACGUCAUACAAUGGCCGGUACAAAGGGCUGCCAACCCGCGAGGGGGAGCUAAUCCCAUAAAACCGGUCGUAGUCCGGAUCGCAGUCUGCAACUCGACUGCGUGAAGUCGGAAUCGCUAGUAAUCGUGGAUCAGAAUGUCACGGUGAAUACGUUCCCGGGUCUUGUACACACCGCCCGUCACACCAUGGGAGCGGGUUCUGCCAGAAGUAGUUAGCCUAACCGCAAGGAGGGCGAUUACCACGGCAGGGUUCGUGACUGGGGUGAAGUCGUAACACGUAAGGCGUUAA
rnacentral:rRNA from 1 species